rnacentral:rRNA from 1 species
UACGAAGGGGGCUAGCGUUGCUCGGAAUUACUGGGCGUAAAGGGCGCGUAGGCGGGUUGCUAAGUUAGAGGUGAAAGCCCAGGGCUCAACCCUGGAAUUGCCUUUAAUACUGGCAGCCUUGAGUAUGGCAGAGGUGUGUGGAACUCCGAGUGUAGAGGUGAAAUUCGUAGAUAUUCGGUAAGAACACCCAGUGGCGAAGGCGACACACUGGGCCAUUACUGACGCUGAGGCGCGAAAGCGUGGGGAGCAAACAGG